rnacentral:lncRNA from 1 species
CAAUUUAAUUAUGCAUGUAUUACAUAAAGUACAGGCUUGUUAUCAUAGGAGGCAAUGAAGUUUCCGGGGCAUUGCUCACAGAUGAGACCUGAGCAGAUGUCAUAAGAGAAGUCACAUUUGAAGUAAGAAGAAAUGCAAAGAUCAAGAGAAAACUCCAAGUAGAAUAAAAUGGUCAGAUUGGGAACAUAUUGAUGGUACUGACAAAACCAUGGAACAGCAGUCCACUUCUAUAAGGAUUCUGGUCAACACAGUAUGUGAUAUCCAUGAAAAUAUGUCUCUCAGAUGAUCUAAGUGUAUUUGAGCAAACAGCACAGUUGCUGCACUCUGAAAUAA